GUGGGGAAUCUUGCGCAAUGGGCGAAAGCCUGACGCAGCCAUGCCGCGUGAAUGAUGAAGGUCUUAGGAUUGUAAAAUUCUUUCACCGGGGACGAUAAUGACGGUACCCGGAGAAGAAGCUCCGGCUAACUUCGUGCCAGCAGCCGCGGUAAUACGAAGGGGGCUAGCGUUGCUCGGAAUUACUGGUCGUAAAGGGCGCGUAGGCGGACAGCUUAGUCAGAGGUGAAAGCCCAGGGCUCAACCUUGGAAUUGCCUUUGAUACUGGCUGUCUUGAGUUUGGGAGAGGUGAGUGGAACUCCGAGUGUAGAGGUGAAAUUCGUAGAUAUUCGGAAGAACACCAGUGGCGAAGGCGACUCACUGGCCCAAUACUGACGCUGAGGCGCGAAAGCGUGGGGAGCAAACAGGAUUAGAAACCCUGGUAGUCC
rnacentral:rRNA from 1 species